rnacentral:rRNA from 1 species
AACGAACGCUGGCGGCAGGCUUAACACAUGCAAGUCGAGCGCCUCGCAAGAGGAGCCGCAGACGGGUGAGUAACGCGUGGGAACGUACCCUUAUCUUCGGAAUAGCUCUGGGAAACUGGAAGUAAUACCGAAUGUGCCCUUAGGGGGAAAGAUUUAUCGGAUAAGGAUCGGCCCGCGUUGGAUUAGCUAGUUGGUGGGGUAAAGGCCUACCAAGGCGACGAUCCAUAGCUGGUCUGAGAGGAUGAUCAGCCACAUUGGGACUGAGACACGGCCCAAACUCCUACGGGAGGCAGCAGUGGGGAAUAUUGGACAAUGGGCGCAAGCCUGAUCCAGCCAUGCCGCGUGAGUGAUGAAGGCCUUAGGGUUGUAAAGCUCUUUCACCGGAGAAGAUAAUGACGGUAUCCGGAGAAGAAGCCCCGGCUAACUUCGUG